rnacentral:rRNA from 1 species
GACGAACGCUGGCGGCGUGCUUAACACAUGCAAGUCGAACGGUGAACCCGCUUCGGUGGGGGAUCAGUGGCGAACGGGUGAGUAACACGUGGGCAACCUGCCCCCGGCUCUGGGAUAACCCCAAGAAAUUGGGGCUAAUACCGGAUAUGACCGCUGACCGCAUGGUCUGGUGGUGGAAAGAUUUAUCGGCUGGGGAUGGGCCCGCGGCCUAUCAGCUUGUUGGUGGGGUAGUGGCCUACCAAGGCGACGACGGGUAGCCGGCCUGAGAGGGUGACCGGCCACACUGGGACUGAGACACGGCCCAGACUCCUACGGGAGGCAGCAGUGGGGAAUAUUGCGCAAUGGGCGGAAGCCUGACGCAGCGACGCCGCGUGGGGGAUGACGGCCUUCGGGUUGUAAACCUCUUUCAGCAGGGACGAAGCCGCAAGGUGACGGUACCUGCAGAAGAAGCACCGGCCAACUACGUGCCAGCAGCCGCGGUAAAAC